CGGCGGACGGGUGAGUAACACGUGGAUAACCUACCUAUAAGACUGGGAUAACUUCGGGAAACCGGAGCUAAUACCGGAUAAUAUAUUGAACCGCAUGGUUCAAUAGUGAAAGACGGUUUUGCUGUCACUUAUAGAUGGAUCCGCGCCGCAUUAGCUAGUUGGUAAGGUAACGGCUUACCAAGGCAACGAUGCGUAGCCGACCUGAGAGGGUGAUCGGCCACACUGGAACUGAGACACGGUACAGACUCCUACGGGAGGCAGCAGGG
rnacentral:rRNA from 1 species